rnacentral:rRNA from 1 species
UGAGCGCGCUGUUGGUCAUGCGCGUCUAAGCAGUGAGGUGUGGAAUGAGGCAAAUCCCAUUCCUAUAACAUUGAGCUGUGAUAGCAAGGGGAUUUAUCCCUGAGUCCCUGAUUUCACGCUGCCAAGAAAAGCCUCUAGCGAGGCGGGAGGUGCCUGUACCGCAAACCGACACAGGUAGGCGAGGAGAGAAUCCUAAGGUGAUCGAGAGAACUCUCGUUAAGGAACUCGGCAAAAUGACCCCGUAACUUCGGGAGAAGGGGUGCUCUGGUAGGGUGUUAAAGCCCGAGAGAGCCGCAGUGAAUAGGCCCAGGCGACUGUUUAGCAAAAACACAGGUCUCUGCAAAACCGCAAGGUGAAGUAUAGGGGCUGACGCCUGCCCGGUGCUGGAAGGUUAAGAGGAGAGGUCAGCGCAAGCGAAGCUUCGAAUUGAAGCCCCAGUAAACGGCGGCCGUAACGAUAACGGUCCUAAGGUAGCGAAAUUCCUUGUCGGGUAAGUUCCGACCCGCACGAAAGGCGUAACGAUCUGGGCACUGUCUCAACGAGAGACUCGGUGAAAUUAUAAUACCUGUGAAGAUGCAGGUUACCCGCGACAGGACGGAAAGACCCCGUGGAGCUUUACUGUAACCUGAUAUUGAAUUCCGGUGCAGCCUGUACAGGAUAGGUAGGAGCCUUGGAUUCCGGAGCGCUAGCUUCGGAUGAGGCGUUGGCGAUACUACCCUGGCUGUAUUGGACUUCUAACCCAUGCCCCUUAUCGGGGCAGGAGACAGUGUCAGGCGGGCAGUUUGACUGGGGCGGUCGCCUCCUAAAGAGUAACGGAGGCGCCCAAAGGUUCCCUCAGAAUGGUCGGACAUCAUUCGUAGAGUGCAAAGGCAUAAGGGAGCUUGACUGCGAGACCUACAAGUCGAGCAGGGUCGAAAGACGGGCUUAGUGAUCCGGUGGUUCCGCAUGGAAGGGCCAUCGCUCAACGGAUAAAAGCUACCCCGGGGAUAACAGGCUUAUCUCCCCCAAGAGUCCACAUCGACGGGGAGGUUUGGCACCUCGAUGUCGGCUCAUCGCAUCCUGGGGCUGUAGUCGGUCCCAAGGGUUGGGCUGUUCGCCCAUUAAAGCGGUACGCGAGCUGGGUUCAGAACGUCGUGAGACAGUUCGGUCCCUAUCCGUCGCGGGCGCAGGAAAUUUGAGAGGAGCUGUCCUUAGUACGAGAGGACCGGGAUGGACAUACCUCUGGUGUACCAGUUGUCUUGCCAAAGGCAUCGCUGGGUAGCUAUGUAUGGACGGGAUAAAUGCUGAAAGCAUCUAAGCAUGAAGCCCCCCUCGAGAUGAGAUUUCCCAUUACGCAAGUAAGUAAGGUCCCUCAAAGAAGAUGAGGUUGAUAGGUCUGGGGUGGAAGCGCGGCGACGUGUGGAGCUGACGGAUACUAAUCGAUCGAGGACUUAACC